AAAACAAGAGGAGCACCUCCCAGGGUUGGAUUCAGGCUACCUAAAAGAAGACAGAACUCAACCCAGAGUUGCUGAAGCCAUCAGAGGAUCCCGAGAGACUGAGAGAGCAGACGGAAAAACAUUCAAAAAAGAAUCAGACCCUGGAACGUUGGAAUCUAAUUUCCCUAAUGAUUUUCUUCUGGUGAUAUAUAUAUAUACACAUGUAUAGUAUACAUUAUAUUUUAUAUAUAAUGAAAACAAGAGUCAAAUAGAAAAAUACAAUGGCACUAGGAGAAAGUCAGUGAGGUUAUUAAUAAGGAAAGCAUGGACCUGGAAAUCCAAGGGUAGGACCAGUGACAAACAGGCUGUAAGUGUGUGAGCAAUUGGACUCUCCCGGCCAUGCUCCAUUCUGUUGCUAGAAUACUGCUCUAUCUGGAGACACAACAUCCUUCCACACCACGUCCUUACUCUCCCGGGCUGCUCCCUUCUUGCUCACUCCCAGCUUCCCUGUGUUUCUUACUGUGACAACAGAAGUUCUCAUCAAUCAUGGGCAUUGUCUUCCUCCCACUACCAAUGAGUCAACAAUUUCUAGAUUUUUUCCAUGACCAUAAACAUCUAUUUUGAAAUGACAUUCAUCGCCCUUGAUGAAUGAGUCUCUGGUUUCCUCUCCAGCCUCAUCUCUACCAGUUUUCUGUAUGUGCCAUAUGUUUCAUCCAAGCAGAACUUCUGAAAGAUCAUGUUAAUCUGAAUAAAAUAAAAACAUGAAUGAAAAACACUGUUGAAACAAACUGCAAAUAUUUGGAGAUGGAUUCAUUGUGGUUACUUUCAACGGGGAUAUGGAAAUUUAUAUUCUUAUCAAAACUUGAUGACAAACAGCCAGUGGAAAAUGAAAGUUUAUCUUCUGUUCCAGGGGAGUAGGGGAUCUUGGUGCCACCACAAGGCAGGUCAGAGAAGCAGCCUUUCUCACUAACCUUCCCGACAGAUUUAGAACAGGACUGGGAUGUUGUUCUGUAAUCAA